GCCGGGCGUGGUGGUGCACGCCUGUAAUCCCAGCUACUCGGGAGGCUGAGGCAUGAGAAUCGCUUGAACCCAGGAGGUGGAGGUUGCAGUGAGCCAAGACUGCACCCAUUGCACUCCAGCCUGGGUGACAGAGCAAGACUCUGUCUCCA
rnacentral:sRNA from 1 species